UUUAAAAUUUUCAGCGUAACAGUAUUCCUUGUUUUUGCACCACACCCAGUGCUCCAUGCAAUCCGUGCCCUCUCCAAUACCCACCACCUGGUUCCCCCAACCUCCCACCCCCCCGCCGCCGCUUCAAACCCUUCAGAGUGUUAUUCAGAGUCUACAGUCUCUCAUGGUUCGUCUCCCUCUCUGAUUUAC